rnacentral:rRNA from 1 species
CCAAGCGAAAGUGAUAAGUGUCCCACCUGGGGAGUACGUUCGCAAGAAUGAAACUCAAAGGAAUUGACGGGGGCCCGCACAAGCGGUGGAGCAUGUGGUUUAAUUCGAUGAUACGCGAGGAACCUUACCAGGGCUUAAAUGUAGUGGGACAGGCUUAGAGAUAGGCUUUUCUUCGGACUCAUUACAAGGUGCUGCAUGGUUGUCGUCAGCUCGUGCCGUGAGGUGUCAGGUUAAGUCCUAUAACGAGCGCAACCCUUACCGUUAGUUGCCAGCGAGUCAAGUCGGGGACUCUAACGGGACUGCCGGUGCAAACCGUGAGGAAGGUGGGGAUGACGUCAAAUCAUCACGGCCCUUACGUCCUGGGCUACACACGUGCUACAAUGGCCGGUACAAUGAGCAGCCACUGCGCAAGCAGGAGCGAAUCUAUAAAACCGGUCACAGUUCGGAUCGGGGUCUGCAACCCGACCCCGUGAAGCUGGAAUCGCUAGUAAUCGGAUAUCAGCCAUGAUCCGGUGAAUACGUUCCCGGGCCUUGUACACACCGCCCGUCAAGCCAUGGAAGCCGGGAGUGCCUGAAGUCC